rnacentral:rRNA from 1 species
CCUACGGGGAGCAGCAGUAGGGAAUCUUCCACAAUGGGCGAAAGCCUGAUGGAGCAACGCCGCGUGGGUGAAGAAGGUCUUCGGAUCGUAAAACCCUGUUGUUAGAGAAGACAGUGCGUGAGAGUAACUGUUCACGUUUCGACGGUAUCUAACCAGAAAGCCCCGGCUCACUACGUGCCAGCAGCCGCGGUAAUACGUAGGUGGCAAGCGUUAUCCGGAUUUAUUGGGCGUAAAGGGAACGCAGGCGGUCUUUUAAGUCUGAUGUGAAAGCCUUCGGCUUAACCGGAGUAGUGCAUUGGAAAGUGGGAGACUUGAGUGCAGAAGAGGAGAGUGGAACUCCAUGUGUAGCGGUGAAAUGCGUAGAUAUAUGGAAGAACACCAGUGGCGAAAGCGGCUCUCUGGGCUGUAACUGACGCUGAGGUUCGAAAGCGUGGGUAGCAAACAGGAUUAGAUACCCUAGUAGUC